rnacentral:rRNA from 1 species
UGACGGUACCUGACUAAGAAGCCCCGGCUAACUACGUGCCAGCAGCCGCGGUAAUACGUAGGGGGCAAGCGUUAUCCGGAUUUACUGGGUGUAAAGGGAGCGUAGACGGCAUGGCAAGUCUGAAGUGAAAGCUCGCGGCUCAACCGCGGAACUGCUUUGGAAACUGUCAAGCUAGAGUACCGGAGGGGUAAGCGGAAUUCCUAGUGUAGCGGUGAAAUGCGUAGAUAUUAGGAGGAACACCAGUGGCGAAGGCGGCUUACUGGACGAUCACUGACGCUGAGGCUCGAAAGCGUGGGGAGCAAACAGGAUUAGAUACCCUG